GUCCUGGCCUUAAACGAUGGAUGCUUGGUGUCUGGAGUUUUAUAGUCUCCGGGUGCCGUAGCUAACGCGUUAAGCAUCCCGCCUGGGGAGUACGGUUGCAAGACUGAAACUCAAAGGAAUUGACGGGGACCCGCACAAGCGGUGGAGCAUGUGGUUCAAUUCGACGCAACGCGAAGAACCUUACCUGGGCUAGAAUGCCUCCGACAACCCUAGAGAUAGGGCUUCUUAGGGAAACCUAGGCGGAGUGCAAGGUGCUGCAUGGCUGUCGU
rnacentral:rRNA from 1 species